UGUUGGUCCCAGUGCUGUGGUGAUGACAACUAAUUGAUCACGUCAGUUUCAGCAUCCUUUGUUCCUUCUCCAUUCCCACUGCUUUACUUGACUAGCCUUUC
ensembl:misc_RNA Y_RNA Y RNA